rnacentral:rRNA from 1 species
UACGUAGGGCGCAAGCGUUGUCCGGAAUUAUUGGGCGUAAAGAGCUCGUAGGUGGUUUGUUACGUCUGCUGUGAAAACCUAGGGCUUAACCCUGGGCCUGCAGUGGAUACGGGCAGACUAGAGGUAGGUAGGGGAGAAUGGAAUUCCCGGUGUAGCGGUGAAAUGCGCAGAUAUCGGGAAGAACACCCGUGGCGAAGGCGGCUCUCUGGGACGGUACUGACGCUGAGACGCGAAAGCGUGGGGAGCGAACAGG